GGACGAACGCUGGCGGCGUGCCUAAGACAUGCAAGUCGAACGCUUCUUUCCUCCCGAGUGCUUGCACUCAAUUGGAAAGAGGAGUGGCGGACGGGUGAGUAACACGUGGGUAACCUACCCAUCAGAGGGGGAUAACACUUGGAAACAGGUGCUAAUACCGCAUAACAGUUUAUGCCGCAUGGCAUAAGAGUGAAAGGCGCUUUCGGGUGUCGCUGAUGGAUGGACCCGCGGUGCAUUAGCUAGUUGGUGAGGUAACGGCUCACCAAGGCCACGAUGCAUAGCCGCCCUGCGAGGGUGGUCGGCCACCCUGGGACUGAGCCACGGCCCAGACGCCUACGGGAGGCAGCAGUCGGGAAUCUUCGACAAAGGACUAAGGUCUGACCGAGCAACGCGGCGUGAAUGAAGAAGGUUUUCGGAUCGUAAACCUCUGUUGUUAGAGAAGAACAAGGACGUUAGUAACUGAACGUCCCCUGACGGUAUCUAACCAGAAAGCCACGGCUAACUACGUG
rnacentral:rRNA from 1 species